rnacentral:rRNA from 1 species
AGGACGAACGCUGGCGGCGUGCUUAACACAUGCAAGUCGAACGGUAAGGCCCCUUCGGGGGUACACGAGUGGCGAACGGGUGAGUAACACGUGGGUAAUCUGCCCUGCACUUCGGGAUAAGCCUGGGAAACUGGGUCUAAUACCGGAUAUGAACUCCUGCCGCAUGGUGGGGGUUGGAAAGUUUUUCGGUGCAGGAUGAGCCCGCGGCCUAUCAGCUUGUUGGUGGGGUAAUGGCCUACCAAGGCGACGACGGGUAGCCGGCCUGACGAGGGUGAGUCGGACCACACUGGGACUGACGACACGGCCCAGACUCCUACGGGAGCAGCAGUGGGAAUAGUUGCACAAGUGGGACGAAAGCCUGAU